ensembl:lncRNA
CUUUUUCAGCCAGUAGGAGGAGGGGCUCCGGUCUGUGCGGUUCGGUUGAGAGGAAGUUUUUACCGUUACCAAGCAGCGGAGAAACGCCAUGGCGGCUAAACAUCAGUGUUUCAGUCAUUGACCGUUGGUGAGCUAGGUUGCCAGGCUGAAGAAGAAAGAGUGACCACUCUUCCCUCACCGCUCCUCUGAAAUGAUGUAGCCGAGAAGCUCGUGUUCUUCCCUGAAGAGGACAAACGGAAACCUCCUCUAUCAUGGCCACGUCUAGUGAUCUGCGGGAGAAGCUGCGGAACAAACGGAGGGCCCUGCAAGAGUCUUUAGGAAAAGUGAAGGAUGACACUCAGGAACUGACUAGCAGAGGAGAUGACCCAGGCGAAGCCCUACGACGCUCACUGAAAGCACAGAGAAUGAAGAAGAAAAAGAAGGUAAAAUCAUCCCAUUCAUUGUUUAUUGUAAGAUCACAUAGCUAUUCAUUUGCAGUUGUUGUGUAUGGC